CCGGAGCUUGCUCCACCGGAAAAAGAGGAGUGGCGAACGGGUGAGUAACACGUGGGUAACCUGCCCAUCAGAAGGGGAUAACACUUGGAAACAGGUGCUAAUACCGUAUAACAAUCGAAACCGCAUGGUUUUGAUUUGAAAGGCGCUUUCGGGUGUCGCUGAUGGAUGGACCCGCGGUGCAUUAGCUAGUUGGUGAGGUAACGGCUCACCAAGGCGACGAUGCAUAGCCGACCUGAGAGGGUGAUCGGCCACAUUGGGACUGAGACACGGCCCAAACUCCUACGGGAGGCAGCAGUAGGGAAUCUUCGGCAAUGGACGAAAGUCUGACCGAGCAACGCCGCGUGAGUGAAGAAGGUUUUCGGAUCGUAAAACUCUGUUGUUAGAGAAGAACAAGGAUGAGAGUAACUGUUCAUCCCUUGACGGUAUCUAACCAGAAAGCCACGGCUAACUACGUGCCAGCAGCCGCGGUAAUACGUAGGUGGCAAGCGUUGUCCGGAUUUAUUGGGCGUAAAGCGAGCGCAGGCGGUUUCUUAAGUCUGAUGUGAAAGC
rnacentral:rRNA from 1 species